CCUACGGGUGACAGCAGUCGGGAAUAUUGCUCAAUGGAGGAAACUCUGACGCAGUCACGCCGCGUGCAGGAAGAAGGUUUUCUGAUUUUAAACUGCUUUAUACAGGGAAGAAAAAAGACAGUACCUUAAGAAUAAGCUCCUGCUAACUACGUGCCAGCAGCCGCGGUACUACGCAGGGAGCAAGCGUUAACCGGAUUUAUUGGGUGUAAAGGGUUCGUAUACGUAUAAGAAAGUUAGUUGUGAAAUCCCUCGGCUUAACUGAGGAACUGCAACUAAAACUACUGCCCUUGAGUACUGGAGAGGAAAGCGGAAUGACGAGUGUAGCGGUGAAAUGCGUAGAUAUUAGGCGGAACACCAGUGGCGAAGGCGGCUUUCUGGACAGUAACUGACGUUGAGGCACGAAAGUGUGGGGAGCAAACAGGAUUAGAUACCCCGGUAGUC
rnacentral:rRNA from 1 species